rnacentral:rRNA from 1 species
UACGGGGGGGGCAAGCGUUGUUCGGAAUUACUGGGCGUAAAGCGCACGUAGGCGGAUCGUUAAGUCAGGGGUGAAAUCCUGGAGCUCAACUCCAGAACUGCCUUUGAUACUGGCGAUCUUGAGUCCGGAAGAGGUGAGUGGAACUCCUAGUGUAGAGGUGGAAUUCGUAGAUAUUAGGAAGAACACCAGUGGCGAAGGCGGCUCACUGGUCCGGUACUGACGCUGAGGUGCGAAAGCGUGGGGAGCAAACAGG